rnacentral:rRNA from 1 species
UACUUAUUUUAUUAUAUUUUUUAUUUGUAAAUUUAAUUUUUUAAUAGAAAUAAUUUUAUUGUUUAUAUUGUCUUAGUAUAUUUUGUAGAAUUGAUUUUUUUUAUUAUAGUUAACUAGUAAUGUAAUUGGAUUAUGAAAUAAUUAUUAAUUUUAAUUAAGUAAAUUUUAUUUAUUGUACCUUUUGUAUCAGGGUUCAUCAAAAUUUUAGUGUUUAUAUGCUUUUCUCGAUUUAGGUUGAUUUAAAAAAAGCAUAUAGUUAAUGUUUCAUAAUUAUUAUUGAGCUUUUUUUAGAAAUGAAAUGUUAAUCGUUUCCUAAUAUAUAAUGGUUUCUCAAGAAAAAAUUUAAUUUUUUAAGGUUAUUGUUUUUAUUUAAUUUUUUAAUUUAAAAAUAUUAAUCUAUUUAUUUUUUAGGGGAUAAGCUCUAAAGUAUUAUCUAUAAUUUAUUUAAUUUUAUAUAAUAGUAGGCUUUAAACCAGCUUUCUUUUAGAUUACGUUUUAGUUCAUUAUUUUAAAAUUUGAUUUUAUAAUUAUUUUAGGUUGUUUAUUGGGAUUUUUAGUUUAAUUUUAAAAUUAUUGUAAUAAUGAUGGAAUUAGUAUAUUUAUUUGUUUAAAUUUUUUCUUAUGUUAAUUUAUUAUAAGGAAUUAGGCAAAAUUGAUUUCCGCCUGUUUAUCAAAAACAUGUCCUCUUGAUAAUAUUAUGAGGUCCGGCCUGCUCACUGACGAGGUUUAUUAAAGAGCCGCGGUAAUUUGACCGUGCAAAGGUAGCAUAAUCAUUAGUCUCUUAAUUAGGGGCUGGAAUGAAUGGCUUGACGAGAAAUCAACUGUCUCUUGAUAAAUUUUUGAAUUUAACUUUUGAGUCAAAAGGCUUAAAUUUUUCUUAAGGACGAGAAGACCCUAUAGAGCUUGACAUUUUAUUUAUAUAUAAUUUUUAGUUAGUCUUUUUAUAUUUAUUGAUGAUGUUUUGUUGGGGUGACAUGAAAAAUAAUUAAACUCUUCAUUAUUAAAUCAUUGAUUUAUGUAUAAAUGAUGAUCCAUAAUUUAUGAUCAUAAGAUUAAGUUACCUUAGGGAUAACAGCGUAAUUAUUUUCGAGAGCUCAUAUCGACAAAUUAGAUUUCGACCUCGAUGUUGGAUUAAGAAAAAUUUUGGGUGCAGGAGCCCAGUGAUUAGGUCUGUUCGACCUUUAAAUUCUUACAUGAUCUGAGUUCAGACCGGCGUGAGCCAGGUCGGUUUCUAUCCUAAGUUUAAUUAACCAAAUUAGUACGAAAGGACCAUUUGGUUAAAAUAUUUUUUGUUUAAUUGAUUAAAAUUAAUAGUUU